CAGCAUCCAAAGACCAACACUACAGCCUCUUCUCUUGUCUUUGAGAAAACCUACUGAAGGUAAAAUCACUGCAGCCAUGCUGAAGGUAGCACUUGUUCUUGGAUGCCUCCUGAGCCUCAUUGUGGCUGAACCUAUGGAGCACCAGCGUUUUGCUCGCUCAAGCUCUGGUUCUGGUUCUGACUCAGAUGAGGUGAG